GACGAACGCUGGCGGCGUGCUUAACACAUGCAAGUCGAACGGAAAGGCUCCAGCUUGCUGGCGUACUCGAGUGGCGAACGGGUGAGUAACACGUGGGUAAUCUGCCCUGCACUCUGGGAUAAGCCUGGGAAACUGGGUCUAAUACUGGAUAUGACCUUUCUCCUUAUGGGGUUUGGUGGAAAGUUUUUCGGUGUAGGAUGAGCCCGCGGCCUAUCAGCUUGUUGGUGGGGUGAUGGCCUACCAAGGCGACGACGGGUAGCCGGCCUGAGAGGGUGAUCGGGCACAUGGGGACUGAGAUACGGCCCAGACUCCUACGGGAGGCAGCAGUGGGGAAUAUUGCACAAUGGGCGGAAGCCUGAUGCAGCGACGCCGCGUGAGGGAUGACGGCCUUCGGGUUGUAAACCUCUUUCAGCAGGGACGAAGCGUAAGUGACGGUACCUGCAGAAGAAGCACCGGCUAACUAUGUG
rnacentral:rRNA from 1 species